UUAAGCGACUAAGCGUACACGGUGGAUGCCCUGGCAGUCAGAGGCGAUGAAGGACGUGCUAAUCUGCGAAAAGCGUCGGUAAGGUGAUAUGAACCGUUAUAACCGGCGAUGUCCGAAUGGGGAAACCCAGUGUGAUUCGUCACACUAUCGUUAACUGAAUACAUAGGUUAACGAGGCGAACCGGGGGAACUGAAACAUCUAAGUACCCCGAGGAAAAGAAAUCAACCGAGAUUCCCCCAGUAGCGGCGAGCGAACGGGGAGCAGCCCAGAGUCUGAAUCAGCUUGUGUGUUAGUGGAACGGUCUGGAAAGUCCGACGGUACAGGGUGAUAGUCCCGUACACCAAAAUGCACAGGCUGUGAACUCGAAGAGUAGGGCGGGACACGUGGUAUCCUGUCUGAAUAUGGGGGGACCAUCCUCCAAGGCUAAAUACUCCUGACUGACCGAUAGUGAACCAGUACCGUGAGGGAAAGGCGAAAAGAACCCCGGCGAGGGGAGUGAAAAAGAACCUGAAACCGUGUACGUACAAGCAGUGGGAGCACCUUCGGGUGUGACUGCGUACCUUUUGUAUAAUGGGUCAGCGACUUAUAUUCUGUAGCAAGGUUAACCGUAUAGGGGAGCCGCAGGGAAACCGAGUCUUAACUGGGCGUUAAGUUGCAGGGUAUAGACCCGAAACCCGGUGAUCUAGCCAUGGGCAGGUUGAAGGUUGGGUAACACUAACUGGAGGACCGAACCGACUAAUGUUGAAAAAUUAGCGGAUGACUUGUGGCUGGGGGUGAAAGGCCAAUCAAACCGGGAGAUAGCUGGUUCUCCCCGAAAGCUAUUUAGGUAGCGCCUCGUGAACUCAUCUUCGGGGGUAGAGCACUGUUUCGGCUAGGGGGUCAUCCCGACUUACCAACCCGAUGCAAACUACGAAUACCGAAGAAUGUUAUCACGGGAGACACACGGCGGGUGCUAACGUCCGUCGUGAAGAGGGAAACAACCCAGACCGCCAGCUAAGGUCCCAAAGUCAUGGUUAAGUGGGAAACGAUGUGGGAAGGCACAGACAGCCAGGAUGUUGGCUUAGAAGCAGCCAUCAUUUAAAGAAAGCGUAAUAGCUCACUGGUCGAGUCGGCCUGCGCGGAAGAUGUAACGGGGCUAAACCAUGCACCGAAGCUGCGGCAGCGACACUAUGUGUUGUUGGGUAGGGGAGCGUUCUGUAAGCCUGCGAAGGUGACCUGUGAGGGUUGCUGGAGGUAUCAGAAGUGCGAAUGCUGACAUAAGUAACGAUAAAGCGGGUGAAAAGCCCGCUCGCCGGAAGACCAAGGGUUCCUGUCCAACGUUAAUCGGGGCAGGGUGAGUCGACCCCUAAGGCGAGGCCGAAAGGCGUAGUCGAUGGGAAACAGGUUAAUAUUCCUGUACUUGGUGUUACUGCGAAGGGGGGACGGAGAAGGCUAUGUUAGCCGGGCGACGGUUGUCCCGGUUUAAGCAUGUAGGCUGAUUAUCCAGGCAAAUCCGGAUAAUCAAGGCUGAGGUGUGAUGACGAGGCACUACGGUGCUGAAGUAACAAAUGCCCUGCUUCCAGGAAAAGCCUCUAAGCAUCAGGUAACAUCAAAUCGUACCCCAAACCGACACAGGUGGUCAGGUAGAGAAUACCAAGGCGCUUGAGAGAACUCGGGUGAAGGAACUAGGCAAAAUGGUGCCGUAACUUCGGGAGAAGGCACGCUGGUGUGUAGGUGAAGUCCCUGCGGAUGGAGCUGAGACCAGUCGAAGAUACCAGCUGGCUGCAACUGUUUAUUAAAAACACAGCACUGUGCAAACACGAAAGUGGACGUAUACGGUGUGACGCCUGCCCGGUGCCGGAAGGUUAAUUGAUGGGGUUAUCCGUAAGGAGAAGCUCUUGAUCGAAGCCCCGGUAAACGGCGGCCGUAACUAUAACGGUCCUAAGGUAGCGAAAUUCCUUGUCGGGUAAGUUCCGACCUGCACGAAUGGCGUAAUGAUGGCCAGGCUGUCUCCACCCGAGACUCAGUGAAAUUGAACUCGCUGUGAAGAUGCAGUGUACCCGCGGCAAGACGGAAAGACCCCGUGAACCUUUACUAUAGCUUGACACUGAACAUUGAGCCUUGAUGUGUAGGAUAGGUGGGAGGCUUUGAAGCGUGGACGCCAGUCUGCGUGGAGCCAACCUUGAAAUACCACCCUUUAAUGUUUGAUGUUCUAACGUUGGCCCCUUACCGGGGUUGCGGACAGUGUCUGGUGGGUAGUUUGACUGGGGCGGUCUCCUCCCAAAGCGUAACGGAGGAGCACGAAGGUUAGCUAAUCCUGGUCGGACAUCAGGAGGUUAGUGCAAUGGCAUAAGCUAGCUUGACUGCGAGCGUGACGGCGCGAGCAGGUGCGAAAGCAGGUCAUAGUGAUCCGGUGGUUCUGAAUGGAAGGGCCAUCGCUCAACGGAUAAAAGGUACUCCGGGGAUAACAGGCUGAUACCGCCCAAGAGUUCAUAUCGACGGCGGUGUUUGGCACCUCGAUGUCGGCUCAUCACAUCCUGGGGCUGAAGUAGGUCCCAAGGGUAUGGCUGUUCGCCAUUUAAAGUGGUACGCGAGCUGGGUUUAGAACGUCGUGAGACAGUUCGGUCCCUAUCUGCCGUGGGCGCUGGAGAAUUGAGGGGGGCUGCUCCUAGUACGAGAGGACCGGAGUGGACGCAUCACUGGUGUUCGGGUUGUCAUGCCAAUGGCACUGCCCGGUAGCUAAAUGCGGAAGAGAUAAGUGCUGAAAGCAUCUAAGCACGAAACUUGCCCCGAGAUGAGUUCUCCCUGAGACUUUAAGUCUCCUGAAGGAACGUUGAAGACGACGACGUUGAUAGGCCGGGUGUGUAAGCGCAGCGAUGCGUUGAGCUAACCGGUACUAAUGAACCGUGAGGCUUAACCUU
rnacentral:rRNA from 2 species